UGAGGAAUAUUGGUCAAUGGGCGGAAGCCUGAACCAGCCAUCCCGCGUGAAGGAAGAAGGCCUUAUGAGUUGUAAACUUCUUUUCUGUUUGAAGAAUAAGCUUGUCGUGACAAGUGAUGCCGGUAGGACAGGAAUAAGCAUCGGCUAACUCCGUGCCAGCAGCCGCGGUAAUACGGAGGAUGCAAGCGUUAUCCGGAUUUAUUGGGUUUAAAGGGUGCGCAGGUGGUUUAAUAAGUCAGUGGUGAAAAUCUGCCGCUUAACGGUAGGAUUGCCAUUGAUACUGUUGGACUUGAAUAUGGAUGAGGUAGGCGGAAUGUGUAGUGUAGCGGUGAAAUGCUUAGAUAUUACACAGAACACCGAUUGCGAAGGCAGCUUACUAAUCCAUGAUUGACGCUGAGGCACGAAAGCGUGGGGAUCAAACAG
rnacentral:rRNA from 1 species